CAGCCGCCGCGGGAAUACGAAGGGGGCUAGCGUUGCUCGGAAUGACUGGGCGUAAAGGGCGCGUAGGCGGCGGCCAAAGUCAGGCGUGAAAUUCCCGGGCUCAACCCGGGGGCUGCGUUUGAUACUUGGUUGCUUGAGUGGGGAAGAGGGUCGUGGAAUUCCCAGUGUAGAGGUGAAAUUCGUAGAUAUUGGGAAGAACACCGGUGGCGAAGGCGGCGACCUGGUCCUUUACUGACGCUGAGGCGCGAAAGCGUGGGGAGCAAACAGGAUUAGAUACCCGGGUAGUCCCUGUCUCUUAUAC
rnacentral:rRNA from 1 species